GACGAACGCUGGCGGCGUGCUUAACACAUGCAAGUCGAACGGAAAGGCCUGCUUUCCCUUGUGGAUUGCGGGUACGCGAGUGGCGAACGGGUGAGUAACACGUGAGUGAUCUGCCCCCAACUUGGGUAUAAGCCUGGGAAACUGGGUCUAAUUCCCGAUAGGACUGCAGGGUGGUGCCUGUGGUGGAAAACGAGCUUCUAGUGGUGGGGGAUGAGCGCGCGGCCGAUCAGCUGGUUGGUGGGGGAAUGGCCUACCAGGGCGGCGACGGGUAGCCGGCCUGAGAGGCUGGACGGCCACAUGGGGACUGCCAUACGGCUCCGACUGCUACGGGAGGCAGCAGUGGGGCAUAUUGCGCAAUGGGCGGCGGGCUGCUGCGGCGGCGCCGCGUGGGGGAUCGCGGCCUUCGGGUUGUAUACUCCUUUCGACCGCGAGGGAGCCACGUGGUUGGAAGGGUGGUGGCGGUCGCGGUAGAAGAAGCCCCGGCUCUCUACG
rnacentral:rRNA from 1 species